rnacentral:misc_RNA from 1 species
UCACAGACAAUAAAUAAUUCUCAGGUAAUCCUUUAUCUGCCAUACCGAGACGCUAAAUCAUGCCUUUUCAGUCUGGUUAUCAUAGCUUGAUUCAUUCUGCAAAUAAACAAAUGAUAAGUCCAACUCGGAUUCUUAUUGGAAACUUCUUUGUUAUUUAAUCUUUAUAGUUACAGAGAAAUGCAUCUCAUGUAAGGUAAUAAGAUAUGCAUAGCAGAAACAGUAUAAACAGGGUAUUAAGGAAAUAUAAUUUGUUGCUUGCUUGAUUUCUUUAUCAGAAUUUCAAUUCUUUAACAAAAGGAAAGAGAGGAUUUGAAUUAGGAUUUG